UGUGAGCCGAAAGUGGUUUGAAGCCAGGGAGAUUUAGGCCAUGGUCUCUAGAAGGGAGGAUUACGCUCGGGUGUGGCAUGACAGUUGACUUUUCAUAACACAGCCACACUGAGCCACCACUGGCCUCCAGGAUCUGUCACCGGACUCCAUCACAAGUGGCCCUCCAAAUUGAAAAAGUCUGCAACCAUCAGGAGGAGCAUAAGGGGGAAAGGUCUCAGGCCUCCAGUCAGGAGGAGCGACAGCCAUCUUCCAAAGCUAAUCCCUCAAGAGGUGUUUCACCAGUAUCAACUUACUGAAAAAGAACAUCCUGUGAAUGGAGGAACAAAUGCAUGAUGAAUACCACGGUGCUCGGU
ensembl:lncRNA